CAUCCUCCGCCCUCUCCCGGAUUCCGCCGGCGCCGGCGGGAUUGGCGUCCUCCUUGCGGCCGUUCUAUCUCCUACGCACCCACCCCAGCACUCUCUCCUGCGGGUUGUCUACCAGAUUGCCGAUAGGGCAGCAGCAGAAGGAGGAAGAGGAGGCGUAACCAGAGCGGCGGCCGCUUUUUCUCUCUUUCCGAAAAACUUCACCCUCUUCGUUACCCCGCACAGACCUUCCAGCCGCUGGAAUCGGAAUGUCCUGGGCGGACUUGACUUGAAGAUCUGAGUGAGACUUCCGUACUAUUUUCUCCUUCCCUCGUUGUCACUCUUAUCACAUCGUGGGUCUUCGGUGGUCUGCCUUCUGUUGCAGUUUUCUCUUCUGUGGCGUUCUUUUCCAUGUUCUUCUGAUGCCCUCUUGCUGUUUCGUAGAUCGCUCUUUCAAGGCAAAUUAAGUUUACAGAAAUAUCCGAGCAGCAGAGAAUGCAACCCAGCACAUGAAAGAUAAUACCCAGAACGUUUCCAUAUCCGAACUAUAGUCGUUUCCAUCCCUAACAUAUGUGGGAUUCA
rnacentral:lncRNA from 1 species